AGGCAGUGAUGACAAAAACGUUUCUCGAUGCUGAAUUAGUUCUCGAGACCAAUUGCAAGUAUGCAUUUGUGUGUAUACUUUCUUGAUGAGAGCAUUUGUGCGUGUCUGAGCCGA
rfam:Beta vulgaris subsp. vulgaris Bvchr3.sca001.con0054.1, whole genome shotgun sequence.